AUGAACGCUGGCGGCGUGCCUCAUACAUGCAAGUCGAGCGAACGGACGAGAAGCUUGCUUCUCUGAUGUUAGCGGCGGACGGGUGAGUAACACGUGGAUAACCUACCUAUAAGACUGGGAUAACUUCGGGAAACCGUAGCUAAUACCGGAUAAUAUUUUGAACCGCAUGGUUCAAAAGUGAAAGACGGUCUUGCUGUCACUUAUAGAUGGAUCCGCGCUGCAUUAGCUAGUUGGUAAGGUAACGGCUUACCAAGGCAACGAUGCAUAGCCGACCUGAGAGGGUGAUCGGCCACACUGGAACUGAGACACGGUCCAGACUCCUACGGGAGGCAGCAGUAGGGAAUCUUCCGCAAUGGGCGAAAGCCUGACGGAGCAACGCCGCGUGAGUGAUGAAGGUCUUCGGAUCGUAAAACUCUGUUAUUAGGGAAGAACAUAUGUGUAAGUAACUGUGCACAUCUUGACGUUACCUAAUCAGAAAGCCACGGCUAACUACGUG
rnacentral:rRNA from 1 species